ACCAAAUACUUUUCAUAAAAUCAGGCAUGGUGGCACAAGUUUUAAUUCCAGUACCCUGGACAUAGAGACAAUAGGAUCCGAAAUUACCCGGACUGGGGUGGGGCUCAGCCAAGAGAGGAGCUACUGCAUAGUGUGAGAGUCACUUAUGUCCUUUACUUAAUGGUCCCUCCAGGCUAGCAGGAGAGCCCAGCAAGCCUACCAUUCU
rnacentral:lncRNA from 1 species